AUUGAACGCUGGCGGCAGGCCUAACACAUGCAAGUCGAGCGAGCGGCGGACGGGUGAGUAAUGUCUGGGAAACUGCCUGAUGGAGGGGGAUAACUACUGGAAACGGUAGCUAAUACCGCAUACCAUCAGAUGUGCCCAGAUGGGAUUAGCUAGUAGGUGGGGUAAAGGCUCACCUAGGCGACGAUCCAUAGCCGGUCUGAGAGGGUGACCAGCCACACUGGAACUGAGACACGGUCCAGACUCCUACGGGAGGCAGCAGUAGGGAAUAUUGCACAAUGGGCGCAAGCCUGACGCAGCCAUGCCGCGUGAGUGAAGAAGGCCUUCGGAUCGUAAAGCUCUUUUAGCAGGGAAGCGGUAUCUGCAGAAAAAGCAACGGCUAACUACGUGCCAGCAGCCGCGGUAAUUC
rnacentral:rRNA from 1 species